UAAGGCAAGCGGUUGGUCGCUGAUUUUAGUUUUUUAAAACUUGAAAAUUAGAGGAAAGUCCGGACUCCAAAAAAGCACAAUACCAGUUAACGACUGGCAAGUUAAUUAGAGCAAUUUAAUUUACUUAGGGAAAGUGUCACAGAGAACAUACUGCCUUAAACCUUCAUCGGAUUUAAUUUAUUUGAUUUAUUAAAACUUUAUCAAAUAAAGGGCGAGAGUGAAAAUGUGAGGUAAGAGCUCACACGCUUUCAUGGCAACAUGAAUUUGGAAAAACCCUAUUGGGAGCAAGACCAAAUAGAAAUGGCGCGUAUUUAUACAAAUAAGCUUUUUUAUUGCCAUUUGGGUAGGUUGCUAGAGGUUGUUAGCAAUAACAAUCCCAGAUGAAUGACUAACGAUUGAGAAAUCAAUUACAGAAUCCGGCUUAUAGCUUGCUUUGCAUU
rnacentral:RNase_P_RNA from 1 species